rnacentral:tRNA from 1 species
GCCCUGGUGGCAUAGUGGUCAAAGUGCUUGGCUGCUAACCAAAAGGUUAGUGGUUCAAACCCACCAACUGCC